UCCCGAUGGAAGCACAGGGAUGGCACCAAUGCCUGUCACUUCCCAAGAGAAAACCCUCCUCAAGUCAGGGCUCCAAGGACUUACCUAUUUUUGCAAGAGAGGCUAGAAGUAUCCAGAGGGUGACCUCAUAUGGAACUUGCACGUAAUCAUAGUCCAGCCCGAACACAGAAAUCCUUCCCUCCGCCUCUGUGCUGGAAGCAGUGAGCCGGGCGUGCAGUGCAUCUUGGGCAGUAGAAUUUGCAGAUUCGUUCAGGUCUGAAGCUGCUUCAGAACUGGCCAAGGCCACCAGCAUCAGCAGGCAGCUCCCAGGGCGCAGAGGCAGGAGCCUUUCAACAGCCAUGCCCGUGGAUCCCGCUGCACACCUGAGUGCAGUUGGUGCCUCAGCCCUGCGGUCAGGAGGCCGCCUAGAUACCGGCCACAUCCACCUGGUCCAAGGUGACAUCCACGCCUCCCUGCAGCAUUCCCAGAGUAGCCUGCUUGUGGAUGCCUUCUGGUCCUCUUGGAAUCAUCCCUGUUCAGGCAGCCGAGUUCUGGCUCACAAGCAGUCCUCCAGUAGAUGCGUGGCAGCCCGGGGAGCUACCUGGAGGACCCCCAUCCCUUCAGGACUCCGUGAGCAGCCUAGAAGGGGAAGCUCUCCCGUGCCCUUCACUGCCUGCUGCCUCCGCCUUGGCAGUGAAGAUCUAAAAGGCACUGCAGCCUUAUCCUGUGUGUCACGGAGAGCCUUCUGCAAGGAGGGGAUCCUGCCCACACUGUCAAGCCAGGAAAGGAGCCACCUGCCCUACCUGUCCUCGCUCCUCCCCCUGCUCACUGCCUUAUUUUGAGUGGCCAAGGCAGCAGGUAGCUCCAGACACACUUAAUUAUUUGCUCUGAUUUGACUUCUGUGCUGAAGCACUUGCUGGGCUCGCCAGAGGGGCCGCUGCUGCCACCUAGUGGUGUCCUGUGAUACGACACGCUUGGUGUGUGAACCGGGACUGUCCUGGGAAAGGAAGGUUCAGUUUUGGUGCAAGGGCAGAAUGGGGUCGGAAGCAACGCGGCCCUUACACGCUGGAGCGGUCCAGGACCAGACCCCGGGAGCAGGCAUCUGCAGGAGGGGGGCAAUCCCAGCUCCCCCAAAGGCUGCGCAGAAUACAAGACCAUGAUGAAAGCCCCACGGAACACGCAUGCUUUCCAUUUUGAAGAAUUUUCUUGAGGUGGCACAAAAAUUUGUAGGUGCACUAUCAUGGAAUUUUUAUGGAAGGAAUUUGAGGUGCACAGCUGCAGUGAGCAGGCCUCCGUGGGAAAGGAGAAUCAGCAUUCACAACUCACACGCUACCUCAGCACCUCCUCUGCAGCGAUCUGCCAGCGAUCUGUGCUUGUGCCCCUGCACCUGGGAGGGAGCCCGGAGAAAUCCCCAAACCCUCUGCAGAACUCUCUGGAAAAUGGAGGAGGACGAGGUCCAAACGCUUAAGUGUGAAUUCACAGCAAGACCCGAGACACAGCAAGACACAGCUGACAUACGGUUUUGUAGCUGAAACAAAAGGUGCCGUGUGUGGACUCCGUCUUACCUGGAAUCAUAGCUUGGACCUACGAUGGGCAGGGACAGUGACAGCCUGAAAUCCAAAAGUGACCGGAACGGCUGUGCAAAUUGCCUGUCACUUCACACAGGCUCAUAAAGGAGAGGGCCCGUCUCCAAACAAGGACAUAUUUUCAGAGUGGAAGCAAGCAACUGGACAAAGCCUGUAACCAGGAGCCAGAGUUCGUGACGACCUUAAAUCAGGCGAUGCCCUGGGGAAGUGUCUCUCUCUUCUGAUGGUAAACUCUGAGGCCAGCUGUGCAAGCCCGAGGCCAUUCACUAGGUUGAUUUCCAUGUAGAAAAUGUAAACACUCUCUUGUGCCCCGUGCUCACUAGUCAUCAGCUGGGUACCCAUGUGCCUGGGGAAAACACGUUGUCACCCUCACUGGCUCUGUUUCAGGCUCCCUGGUGCAGCUGGCAUAGUGGGAACCUCUUUUCCAGAGCUAAGGACAGAGCCCUAGAUCACCCAUAGCACUGUGACAGCAGGGUCUUCGGCCUCAGAGCUUCUAGAGCUGGAGACCACAGAGAGAUGAUGGCAGAGAGAUGCUGCAUGAGCUCCUCCUGCCUGCUGGGACCCGCAGGAUCCUGCCCAGAAACUUCCAGGCCUAAUUUAUACCCUUCAGCUCCCUGUAACUUCUGCACAGGAAUUUCCAACAAGCACGUUGCGUGGUGCCAAA